AUUGGACGCUGGCGGCAUGCCUUACACAUGCAAGUCGAACGGCAGCACGGGAGCAAUCCUGGUGGCGAGUGGCGAACGGGUGAGUAAAGUAUCGGAACGUGCCCAGUCGUGGGGGAUAACGUAGCGAAAGUUACGCUAAUACCGCAUACGAUCUAUGGAUGAAAGCGGGGGAUCGCAAGACCUCGCGCGAUUGGAGCGGCCGAUAUCAGAUUAGGUAGUUGGUGGGGUAAAGGCUCACCAAGCCGACGAUCUGUAGCUGGUCUGAGAGGACGACCAGCCACACUGGGACUGAGACACGGCCCAGACUCCUACGGGAGGCAGCAGUGGGGAAUUUUGGACAAUGGGCGAAAGCCUGAUCCAGCCAUGCCGCGUGCAGGAUGAAGGCCUUCGGGUUGUAAACUGCUUUUGUACGGAACGAGAAGGUUUGGCCUAAUAAGCUGAGCUCAUGACGGUACCGUAAGAAUAAGCACCGGCUAGCUACGUGCCAGCCGCCGCCGUAA
rnacentral:rRNA from 1 species